AGAGUUCGAUUAUGGCUCAGGAUGAACGCUGGCGGCGUGCUUAACACAUGCAAGUCGAGCGAAGCGGCUGAAUUGAUUCUUCGGAUGAUUUUCAGUUGACUGAGCGGCGGACGGGUGAGUAACGCGUGGGUGACCUGCCCCAUACCGGGGGAUAACAGCUGGAAACGGCUGCUAAUAUCGCAUAAGCGCACAGAGCUGCAUGGCUCGGUGUGAAAAACUCCGGUGGUAUGGGAUGGGCCCGCGUCUGAUUAGGCAGUUGGCGGGGUAACGGCCCACCAAGGCAACGAUCGGUAGCCGGACUGAGAGGUUGAACGGCCACAUUGGGACUGAGACACGGCCCAG
rnacentral:rRNA from 1 species